UAAAAAAACAAAAUAGUAUAUUUUCGUGAUGUACCGAUAAAAACAGAGAACACACCACUCAAAAUCAAAAGCUAGGGUUCCUUCGAAAAGCUGUUGGAUUCGAUUUUGCCGGAGAUUAAAUCCUCUUCCCCACAAUAGCAUCGAUUUCCCCGGUGAGAAGGGUUUUGAUUUAUCUGGAAAGUGUUGGAAACCCUUCCCUCGAGAAGGCUCAAUUUUCCCAGGUUUUGUAAUCUCCGCUGCCAACUCUCCGGUUAUAAGAACCACCGAUCUCUGUCGAUUUUUUUCUAGGUCUUAUAAUCCCUUUUUAGCAUUCCUUGUUCUGAUUUGGUUAACGGAUGGUUAAGAUUUGCUGUUUCUGGAUUGCAGAGACUGUCAUCUCAUUAUUCCCUGUGAAAAAAACUGAGCUUUCUAUUGGUUAGGGGAGUCUUUCUUUGAUUUGUACAACUCUUAUGAUUAACAACAGAAGAGUUCUGCAAAGAUUGGAGGGAAAGUUCUUUCCUUGCACCACCAAUAACUAAGUAGCAUUAACUUGCCCAGUCUCCACCUUAGCAUACGCUUCAAGACUCCACCAAUUACUGGUGAAUAUGCUAUUUCUCAGUUGUAACAAGGCAAAAUCCCAAACAACACUACUUACUGUUGUGUCAUGUUCUUGUUUACAUGCUUAUUCCUUUUAGCAUAACAGUGUUAUUAUCACACAUUCAUAAAUGCAGUGGUGCAAUUCUCUUUUCA